GGGCGAGUGAUGGAAUUGGUAGACAUGCAACGUUCAGAGCGUUGUUCCGUUAAAGGAGUGAGAGUUCAAAUCUCUUCUCGCCCA
rnacentral:tRNA from 1 species